GAAUUGCUAGUAAUGGCAGGUCAGCAUACUGCCGUGAAUACGUUCCCGGGCCUUGUACACACCGCCCGUCACACCAUGAGAGUUGGGAAUACCCGAAGCCUGUGAGCUAACUGUAAGGAGGCAGCAGUCGAAGGUAGAAUCAAUGAUUGGGGUGAAGUCGUAACAAGGUAGC
rnacentral:rRNA from 1 species